GACGAACGCUGGCGGCGUGCUUAACACAUGCAAGUCGAACGGAAAGGCCUGCUUUCCCUUGUGGAUUGCGGGUACUCGAGUGGCGAACGGGUGAGUAACACGUGAGUGAUCUGCCCCCAACUUGGGUAUAAGCCUGGGAAACUGGGUCUAAUUCCCGAUAGGACUGCAGGGUGGUGCCUGUGGUGGAAAACGAUUUUCUAGUGGUUGGGGAUGAGCUCGCGGCCUAUCAGCUUGUUGGUGGGGUAAUGGCCUACCAAGGCGGCGACGGGUAGCCGGCCUGGGAGAGUGGACGGCCACAUUGGGACUGCGAUACGGCCCAGACUCCUACGGGAGGCAGCAGUGGGGAAUAUUGCACAAUGGGCGGAAGCCUGAUGCAGCGACGCCGCGUGGGGGAUGACGGCCUUCGGGUUGUAAACUCCUUUCGACCGCGAGGAAGCCACCUGGUUGGAAGGGUGGUGACGGUAGUGGUAGAAGAAGCACCGGCUAACUACGUG
rnacentral:rRNA from 1 species